UACGUAGGGUGCAAGCGUUUAAUCGGAAUUACUGGGCGUAAAGCGUGCGCAGGCGGUUUUGUAAGUCUGUUGUGAAAUCCCCCGGGCUCAACCUGGGAAUGGCAAUGGAGACUGCAAGGCUAGAGUUUGGCAGAGGGGGGUAGAAUUCCACGUGUAGCAGUGAAAUGCGUAGAUAUGUGGAGGAACACCGAUGGCGAAGGCAGCCCCCCUGGGUCAAGAUUGACGCUCAUGCACGAAAGCGUGGGGGGCAAACAGG
rnacentral:rRNA from 1 species